GCUUGACAUAUACAGGAAUAUGGCAGAGAUGUCAUAGCGGUAAAACGUCUGUAUACAGGUGGUGCAUGGUUGUCGUCAGCUCGUGUCGUGAGAUGUUGGGUUAAGUCCCGCAACGAGUGCAACCCUCGUUCUGUGUUGCCAGCAUUUAGUUGGGGACUCACAGGAGACUGCCGGGGUUAACUCGGAGGAAGGUGGGGAUGACGUCAAAUCAUCAUGCCCCUUAUGUCUUGGGCUGCACGCAUGCUACAAUGGCUGGUACAAACGGCUGCAAUACCGCAAGGUGGAGCGAAUCCGAGAAAGCCAGUCUCAGUUCGGAUUGGGGUCUGCAACUCGACCCCAUGAAGUCGGAGUUGCUAGUAAUCGUAG
rnacentral:rRNA from 1 species